CGAACCCACUAGUGUUGCAAAACUAGGGGAUGAGCUGUGGAUAGGGGUGAAAGGCUAAACAAACUUGGAAAUAGCUGGUUCUCUCCGAAAACUAUUUAGGUAGUGCCUCAAGUAUCACCAUCGGGGGUAGAGCACUGUUAUGGCUAGGGGGUCAUUGCGACUUACCAACCCAUUGCAAACUCCGAAUACCGAUGAGUGCGAGCUUGGGAGACAGACGUCGGGUGCUAACGUCCGGCGUCAAGAGGGAAACAACCCAGACCGCCAGCUAAGGUCCCUAAAUCAUCGCUAAGUGGUAAACGAUGUGGAAAGUCAUAGACAGCCAGGAUGUUGGCUUAGAAGCAGCCAUCAUUUAAAGAAAGCGUAACAGCUCACUGGUCAAGCGCUCCUGCGCGGAAAAUGUAACGGGGCUUAAGUGAUACACCGAAGCUGCGGAUUCGAUCUUUGAUCGAGUGGUAGCGGAGCGUUCCGUAGGCCGAUGAAGGCAGACCCGCGAGGGCUGCUGGAGGUAUCGGAAGUGAGAAUGCUGACAUGAGUAGCGACAAAGAGGGUGAGAGACCCUCUCGCCGAAAGUCCAAGGGUUCCUGCGUAAAGCUAAUCUGCGCAGGGUUAGCCGGCCCCUAAGGCGAGGCAGAAAUGCGUAGUCGAUGGGAACCAGGUUAAUAUUCCUGGGCCAGAUGGAAGUGACGGAUCUCAAAGGUUGUUCGUUCUUAUCGGAUUGAACGGGCCGCUCAGAGGUUCCUGGAAAUAGCUCCAUCAUGAGAUCGUACCCUAAACCGACACAGGUGGACUGGUAGAGAAUACCAAGGCGCUUGAGAGAACGAUGUUGAAGGAACUCGGCAAAAUACCUCCGUAAGUUCGCGAGAAGGAGGCCCAGUUUCUAGGCAACUAGUGGCUGGGGGCACAAACCAGGGGGUGGCGACUGUUUACUAAAAACACAGGGCUCUGCGAAG
rnacentral:rRNA from 11 species